rnacentral:rRNA from 1 species
CUACGGGACGCACCAGUGGGGAAUAUUGGGCAAUGGGCGCAAGCCUGACCCAGCAACGCCGCGUGAGGGAAGAAGGUUUUCGGAUUGUAAACCUCUGUCCUUGGGGACGAAGAAGUGACGGUACCCAAGGAGGAAGCUCCGGCUAACUACGUGCCAGCAGCCGCGGUAAUACGGAGGGAGCAAGCGUUGUCCGGAAUUACUGGGCGUAAAGGGUGCGUAGGCGGCAUAUUAAGUCAGGUGUGAAAUACUCGGGCUCAACCCGGGGGCUGCAUUUGAAACUGAUAUGCUUGAGUGUGGGAGAGGAAAGUGGAAUUCCUAGUGUAGCGGUGGAAUGCGUAGAUAUUAGGAGGAACACCAGUGGCGAAGGCGACUUUCUGGCUCAUAACUGACGCUGAGGCACGAAAGCGUGGGGAGCAAACAGGAUUAGAUACCCUCGUAGUC